rnacentral:rRNA from 1 species
UACAGGGGGGGCAAGCGUUGUUCGGAAUUACUGGGCGUAAAGGGUCUGUAGGUGGCCAACUAAGUCAGACGUGAAAUCCCCUCAGCUUAACUGGGGAACUGCGUCUGAUACUGGAUGGCUCGAGUGUGGGAGAGGAAUGCGGAAUUCCAGGUGUAGCGGUGAAAUGCGUAGAUAUCUGGAGGAACACCGGUGGCGAAGGCGGCAUUCUGGACUAUAACUGACACUGAGAGACGAAAGCCAGGGGAGCAAACGGG